UUUCUAGUGUUUUGCUUUUGUUGCAACCAAUGCUGGGUGGGGAUUGACUGGAAGAGGCCAUCGUGGGUUGACCGAUUAGUACUCACAAAGUUCGAUCGGGGGAGGUUUGUGAUAUUCUGUCAUACUUCGGACUAGAGAUACUGGAUUUUGAGAGUCGGCGGCACCCAGAUGAUAUAAGCACCUAUAAUGCUCAUAUCAUUGCCUUCACACUGAGCACGCAUAAUCAUUGCAUGGCAAUGGGACUGAGACUGAGACUGGUACUGGGACUGAGACCAUUGGGACCAUUGCUGUCAAUGUUAGAGAUCUUCGCUUGGCCACACACAAAUUAGCAUUUGUAAUUGCACAUCGUCUCGACUCAUUUAGCAAGUCGCUUUGUUAUCGCUAAUAUGGAAGGAAGGUAAUUUCAGGACCAUUACAUAAUUGACAUGAUCUGAUUUCGUGUCGCCAUGAGUCAUGCCAUAGAUAGUGGACAUUCGUGAAUUUGUCUCCUCAGAUUGGAAAAUCAUAUGUUCUUACAAUUUGACAAGUGGUGCUAUAAAGAUAUAUAACUUUAUUGUUUCUUGGAUGCAGAUGGUAUAAAGAAAUAAGCGAUUGGAUCUUAAGAAGCAAAACACGACACCCAAUUAAUGAUGAGCUCACCAACAAGAGAAGACACCAAUAUGUGUCAAGACUACCUUUGGGGUCAUAGUUCAUGUUUCCCAUAUACACUUUUUAAACGCCGAUGAAGUUUAAGACUUGCUGAUGAUUGGAGUCAAAUAAUUAUAAAGGGUAAUCACGUUUGGCAAUCGUCAUGGUUCUUCAAGUCAAAUGCAUAAAAACUGACACAAACAGGAGCAAACAACACACGUGAAUUGGAAAGGGACGAAGGAACUAUAAUUGCACAACAAACCUGAUUGUCGGGUUUUUUUAUUAAAUGGGUGGAAAGAGCAGCGACAAGAGCAGGAGAAGCACGGCUAUUCGCGAGCUUAGAGACCAUACCCACUGUCCUCCGGGACAUUAAUUAAUCACGGCCUUGUCAUUCGCAAGGAUCGAGGAGUGGCCAAAACGGCCAAACAAACAGGAGUACAGGAGUACUGGAGUACAGGAGUACAGGAGACUGGAGAAGGGUGCAGAAAUCAAAUUAACAGUGCGUCAAAAGGAUUAACCCCGUGCAGCCAAGGCAGCCAAGGGCAGGAGCAGGGAUUGGAGUUGGAGUUGGAGCACGGAGCACGUAGCACGAGUAAACCAACCGACCGACCCGAGAUCCACAUUCCAGGGUCAGCGGGUUACGCAGUUUGGAGCUUAGUUUGCAGCGUAGUUGCGAAGCUGCCUCCUUUGGCACGUGUUCGGCGGCUCGUCG
rnacentral:sRNA from 1 species